UGGUAACCCUGACCUUAAUAAAAAUCACACCCCCAGUGUGACAACACAAAGAUAGGACACAGCACAACGGGGUGGACUUGGCCAGACUUGCACUCCUCCUCUGCCUGUGGUGAUGCCAGGGGGCAGAGUCCUGUCUGCCAAGGAACAAAGAGUGCCUCCCUUUCAUUUCGGUCAUCUUAGGAUUUUCUCUCCCGAAUGGCUGCCGCCUCUUGCUCCAGUGCAUCAAUAUGGGGUCUUCUUCCUUGAAGUGAACUUGAUAUUUCUCACAUGGAGAGAAGCGGCUGAUCCUGAAGUCCCUCCAUACCGUCAGGCGAGAUAUCCUGGAGCUUCGUCUUAAGAACAAAAAACCAGGAACUGCCACACCCACUCCAGUGGAGUUCUUGUGAUGUGAAGCUCUUGUGCUUCGUUUCUAUCCACAACAGAGGCCUGUCCCUGGAAUGGCUUGGCUUCCUGCAGGUCCUGGCCGUCUCCCUACAAAUAGAUGAUGACUGGGGUCUACGCUUGCGGUGGAGGUGCCUUCUGUGUUCUAGCCUUGGUGAUCUUAGAAACUUUAAGCCUGUCAACAACAUCUGAUUUUAAGAAUAUAGCAGUGCGGGAAGAUGGUCAUGUACCUUUAGAUGUCUCAGGAACUGAAAGUUCAGAGACGGAAUCGUCUCACACCAUCAUGACUCUGAUGAACUCAACGGCUGCUAUGAAUUCAACUGCUGCACCCAUUAGUUCCCAGCAAAUAGGAGAGAAAUUAAUUGCAGCUAUUAAGAACAUGACUGUUCCAGAAAAGGCUUUUCCCCCUUUUGGGAAAGUUUUGUUUAGCAUGAUUCAGGAUAGUAGUGACUCUUUUAGAAAGAUCAUGGAUAUGUUCCAACAAGUUGAACAAACUUAUCAAGAGUUAACUAGAAGGAAAAGAGAAAUUAACAUUGAGCAAGAAAUAAAAGAAAUUAUAGAAUGGUUACAAA